UACGGAAGGGAGCAGUGGGGAAUAUUGCACAAUGGGCGCAAGCCUGAUGCAGCCAUGCCGCGUGUAUGAAGAAGGCCUUCGGGUUGUAAAGUACUUUCAGUCGUGAGGAAGGUGUUAAGGUUAAUAACCUUAGCAAUUGACGUUAGCGACAGAAGAAGCACCGGCUAACUCCGUGCCAGCAGCCGCGGUAAUACGGAGGGUGCGAGCGUUAAUCGGAAUUACUGGGCGUAAAGGGCACGCAGGCGGUUAAUUAAGUUGGAUGUGAAAUCCCCGGGCUUAACCUGGGAAUGGCAUUCAAGACUGGUUAGCUAGAGUCUUGUAGAGGGGGUAGAAUUCCAUGUGUAGCGGUGAAAUGCGUAGAGAUGUGGAGGAAUACCGGUGGCGAAGGCGGCCCCUGGGACAAAGACUGACGCUCAUGUGCGAAAGCGUGGGGAGCAAACAGGGAUUAGAUACC
rnacentral:rRNA from 1 species